UAUAUAUAUAUACAAUGUACAAAUAGUUAAAGGACACAAGAUAAAAUGAAUAAGCAUAAAUAUGGGUUGUAUUUACAAUGGUGUUUGUUCUUCACUGGUUGCCCUUUUCUCGUGGCAACAGGUCACAAAUCUUGCUGCUGUGAUGGCACACUGUGGAAUUUUACCCAAAAGAUAUGAGAGUUUUUCAAAAUUGGAUUUGUUUUCGAAUUCUUUGUGGAUCUGUGUAAUCUGGGGAAAUAUGUCUCUCUAAUAUGGUCAUACAUUGGGCAGGAGGUUAGGAAGUGCAGCUCAGUUUCCACCUCAUUUUGUGGGCAGUGAGCACAUAGCCUGUCUUCUCUUGAGAGCCAUGUCUGCCUACGGCGGCCUUUCUCAAUAGCAAGGCUAUGCUCACUGAGUCUGUACAUAGUCAAAGCUUUCCUUAAUUUUGGGUCAGUCACAGUGGUCAGGUAUUCUGCCGCUGUGUACUCUCUGUGUAGGGCCAAAUAGCAUUCUAGUUUGCUCUGUUUUUUUGUUAAUUCUUUCCAAUGUGUUAAGUAAUUAUCUUUUUGUUUUCUCAUGAUUUGGUUGGGUCUAAUUGCGCUGUUGUCCUGGGGCUCUGUAGGGUGUGUUUGUGUUUGUGAACAAAGCCCCAGGACCAGCUUGCUUAGGGGACUCUUCUCCAGGUUCAUCUCUCUGUAGGUGAUGGCUUUGUUAUGGAAGGUUUGUGAAUUGCUUCCUUUUAGGUGGUUGUAGAAUUUAACGGCUCUUUUCUGGAUUUUGAUAAUUAGUGGGUAUCGGCCUAAUUCUGCUCUGCAUGCAUUAUUUGGUGUUCUACGUUGUACACGGAGGAUAUUUUUCAGAAUUCUGCGUGCAGAGUCUCAAUUUGGUGUUUGUCCCAUUUUGUGAAGUCUUGGUUGGUGAGCGGACCCCAGACCUCACAACCAUAAAGGGCAAUGGGCUCUAUGACUGAUUCAAGUAUUUUUAGCCAAAUCCUAAUUGGUAUGUUGAAAUUUAUGUUUCUUUUGAUGGCAUAGAAUGCCCUUCUUGCCUUGUCUCUCAGAUCGUUCACAGCUUUGUGGAAGUUACCUGUGGCGCAGUUCUAUCUGUCUGUUAAAUCAGUUUCUGGACCACAGGUUCUAGAACAGCUUCUAUCCCAGUUCUAUCUGUCUGUUAUAUCAUCAACCUAAACUGUUUCCAUCAGACUAUUAGAACUUGACUGAACCUUUUGGUUCCUUUUCUGAUAUUUUACCACUUUGCAUUUUUUAUGAUAUAUUUUACUGUUUGUGUUUGUACCACAGGAGGUUGGUGGGACCUUAAUUGGGGAGGACAGGCUUGUAAUGGCUGGAGGGGAAUAAGUAGAAUGGUAUCAAACACGUGGUUUCCAUGUGUUCCAUUUCAUUCACUCUGUUCCAGACAUUAUUAUGAGCCGUCCUCCCCUCACCAGCCUCCUCUGGUAUGUACUGUCCUAUAUGUGAGAGAGAUCCAACAAGGAAUUACAAUGUAUGUAUUACAUACCUGCAAAUGGCAAAUAAACUACUAGAAGUCCUUAUGAAUGUCUGCAGCCGACUAGACUGUUGGCGUCUGACAAGAGGUGAAAAUAUUACAGGAAUAUUCUGCAAAUGUUGAUGAAGACGUCACUCAAUCCCCCAAAACAACAUGCGGUCUUUCCACAAGACUCCAAUGAAGUUAUAGUGUGACGUUGUGAGUUGACAUUAAAGUAACAUUCUCAGAACAUACUGCACUUGUUUUAUACUGUUUUAGAUGGAUCCUCUGUUUAUCAUCUUGUUUUAUACUGUUUUAGAUGGAUCCUCUGUUUAUCAUCUUGUUUUAUACUGUUUUAGAUGGAUCCUCUGUUUAUCAUCUUGUUUUAUACUGUUUUAGAUGGAUCCUCUGUUUAUCAUCUUGUUUUAUACUGUUUUAGAUGGAUCCUCUGUUUAUCAUCUUGUUUUAUACUGUUUUAGAUGGAUCCUCUGUUUAUCAUCUUGUUUUAUACUGUUUUAGAUGGAUCCUCUGUUUAUCAUCUUGUUUUAUACUGUUUUAGAUGGAUCCUCUGUUUAUCAUCUUGUUUUAUACUGCUUUAGAUGGAUCCUCUGUUUAUCAUCUUGUUUUAUACUGUUUUAGAUGGAUCCUCUGUUUAUCAUCUUGUUUUAUACUGUUUUAGAUGUAUCCUCUGUUUAUCAUCUUGUUUUAUACUGUUUUAGAUGGAUCCUCUGUUUAUCAUCUUGUUUUAUUCUGUUUUAGAUGGAUCCUCUGUUUAUCAUCUUGUUUUAUACUGUUUUAGAUGGAUCCUCUGUUUAUCAUCUCUGUUUCAACAUUUAAACUCUUAAAUUUAAACAAUUUAAACAAUUAAACUGUUACAUUUAAACAAUUUAAACAAUACCACCGUUAAAAUACCAAUGUGAUCAUUUGUUGUACGUCUUUUAUGUUGAAUAACAAAUAGUACAAUUAUAUAUGGACAUACGCUCCACAUACACUGCUGAUGUCGCAGAAAGGCCAUAAAGAUCAUCAAGGACAACAACCACCCGAGCCACUGCCUGUUCACCCCGUUAUCAUCCAGAAGGAGGGUACAGGUGCAUCAUCACCACCCGAGCCACUGCCUGUUCACCCCGUUAUCAUCCAGAAGGAGAGGUCAGUACAGGUGCAUCAUCACCACCCGAGCCACUGCCUGUUCACCCCGCUAUCAUCCAGAAGGAGAGGUCAGUACAGGUGCAUCAUCACCACCCGAGCCACUGCCUGUUCACCCCGCUAUCAUCCAGAAGGAGAGGUCAGUACAGGUGCAUCAUCACCACCCGAGCCACUGCCUGUUCACCCCGCUAUCAUCCAGAAGGAGAGGUCAGUACAGGUGCAUCAUCACCACCCGAGCCACUGCCUGUUCACCCCGCUAUCAUCCAGAAGGAGAGGUCAGUACAGGUGCAUCAAAGCUGGGACCGA